rnacentral:piRNA from 1 species
AGUUCUGGAAAAACUACUGGUGAUGAGAC